GUCUACGGCCAUACUAUCCCAAACAAGCCCGAUCCCGUUUGAUCUUGGAAGCUAAGUAGGUUAGUACUUGGAUGGGAGACUACCUAGGAAGACUAGGUGCUGUAGAUG
rnacentral:rRNA from 1 species